rnacentral:sRNA from 1 species
GCUGGGCACUUUGGCACGUGCCCGUAAUCCCAGGAGCUCAGGAGGCUGAGGCAGGAGGUUUGCAGGUUCAAAGCCAACCUCAGCAAUCACAAGGUGCUAAGAAACUCAGUGAGACUCUGUCUCUA